UUGAGCCCUGUGAGGUGAAAGUCUCACGCAGGGUUCUUAGGGGGGAAGGCAGCCGAAAGGCUGCCCUCCUACCCGGC
rfam:Delta proteobacterium MLMS-1 ctg840, whole genome shotgun sequence.